rnacentral:rRNA from 1 species
AUUGAACGCUGGCGGCAGGCCUAACACAUGCAAGUCGAACGAGUGGCGGACGGGUGAGUAAUGUCUGGGAAACUGCCUGAUGGAGGGGGAUAACUACUGGAAACGGUAGCUAAUCCCGCAUACCAUACGAUGUGGCCAGAUGGGAGUGGCUAGUAGGUGGGGUAAAGGCUCCCCUAGGCGACGAUCCCUAGCUGGUCUGAGAGGAUGACCAGCCACACGGGAACUUAGAAACGGUCCAGCAUCCUACGGGAGGCAGCAGUGGGGAAUAUUGAGCAAUGGGCGCAAGCCUGAUGCAGCCAUGCCGCGUGUAUGAAUAAGGCCUUCGGGUUGUAAAGUACUUUCAGCGGGGAGGCGUUACCCGCAGAAGAAGCACCGGCUAACUCCGUGCCAGCAGCCGCGGUAAUAC